rnacentral:rRNA from 1 species
ACGGGUGAGUAAUGUCUGGGAAACUGCCUGAUGGAGGGGGAUAACUACUGGAAACGGUAGCUAAUACCGCAUAACGUCGCAAGACCAAAGAGGGGGACCUUCGGGCCUCUUGCCAUCAGAUGUGCCCAGAUGGGAUUAGCUAGUAGGUGGGGUAACGGCUCACCUAGGCGACGAUCCCUAGCUGGUCUGAGAGGAUGACCAGCCACACUGGAACUGAGACACGGUCCAGACUCCUACGGGAGGCAGCAGUGGGGAAUAUUGCACAAUGGGCGCAAGCCUGAUGCAGCCAUGCCGCGUGUAUGAAGAAGGCCUUCGGGUUGUAAAGUACUUUCAGCGAGGAGGAAGGCGAUACGGUUAAUAACCGUGUCGAUUGACGUUACUCGCAGAAGAAGCACCGGCUAACUCCGUGCCAGCAGCCGCGGUAAUACGGAGGGUGCAAGCGUUAAUCGGAAUUACUGGGCGUAAAGCGCACGCAGGCGGUCUGUCAAGUCGGAUGUGAAAUCCCCGGGCUCAACCUGGGAACUGCAUUCGAAACUGGCAGGCUUGAAUCUUGUAGAGGGGGGUAGAAUUCCAGGUGUAGCG